AUUGAACGCUGGCGGCAGGCCUAACACAUGCAAGUCGAGCGGAUGACGGGAGCUUGCUCCUUGAUUCAGCGGCGGACGGGUGAGUAAUGCCUAGGAAUCUGCCCGGUAGUGGGGGACAACGUUUCGAAAGGAACGCUAAUACCGCAUACGUCCUACGGGAGAAAGCAGGGGACCUUCGGGCCUUGCGCUAUCAGAUGAGCCUAGGUCGGAUUAGCUAGUUGGUGGGGUAAUGGCUCACCAAGGCGACGAUCCGUAACUGGUCUGAGAGGAUGAUCAGUCGCACUGGAACUGAGACACGGUCCAGACUCCUACGGGAGGCAGCAGUGGGGAAUAUUGGACAAUGGGCGAAAGCCUGAUCCAGCCAUGCCGCGUGUGUGAAGAAGGUCUUCGGAUUGUAAAGCACUUUAAGUUGGGAGGAAGGGCAGUAAGCUAAUACCUUGCUGUUUUGACGUUACCGACAGAAUAAGCACCGGCUAACUCUGUGCCAGCCGCCGCAGUAA
rnacentral:rRNA from 1 species